UAUUGGGUAUAUCCACGAUUUCCUUGCUUUCCUUGUCUGUUAUUUCACUUUCCAGGUUGGCACCAAUCCGAAGGAUAUCCAAUUGCCUUGUAAUAGAAAUCCUUACUGUAAUUUGUUUUUCCACAAUGUACACAAGGUGGGAAUUGAUUGCGAUUCUCAUCUUCAACUUUCUUGGAUCGAGUAUCACUUCUUUUAUAUAAUAAGGCUGCCACUUCAAUGAUAGGAGCCCGAUUUGUAGCAACUAAAUGCUGUUUCUAUUCUUGUACAACAAUAGCAUAUUUCCUUCCAGGAUUCGGCAAUGGAUCAAUGCUUAAUAUUUGAGAUCGCACUAUGCUCCACAUGUACAACCACAAGUGCAGACAGGUACUGGACUGAGUCCUUGCAACUUUCCCCAAACGGCUUUCAAUUUUCUGUAAUAGGAGGAAACAGAUAAUUUUUCUUGCUACAACAGUGCUAUAACACAUCUCAACUCAUAGGCUUUUGGAGCUAUUCCUUGCGUGAAUCUUUCCUCUAAAUCCUGUCAUAAAUCCCUUGCUGUUUCUACAUGGACAACAUUUCCUUGAAGCUGUUUCACUAAAGCAGUAGUGAGCCAAGAGAGAACAAUAGCAUUGCACUGGAUCCAUGACUACAAAUAUGGAGAAUCAGCAUCUGGUUUCUUGAAUUUUCCAUCCACAAAGCCUCCUUUGUUUUUGGAAUAGAGUGCAUUCAAAAAGCUACGUCUCCAUGUAAAAUAAUUAUCCCCAUUUUCACUAAGGGGUUGAGCGACGAAAAUCGAUCCUGGGUGAUCAAAUGGAUGUAGGUAGUAAGGAGAAGUGGUAUUAAGUGCUUUGUUUUGAUUGACACUCGUGACCAACUCUCCAGUACCUCCUGUAUUUUUAUUGUUCAGAUCAUCUCCUGCCAUGGUUCAACAAGCUAAGAUUUUACAA